rnacentral:rRNA from 1 species
AGUGAACGCUGGCGGUAGGCCUAACACAUGCAAGUCGAACGGCAGCACAGGAGAGCUUGCUCUCUGGGUGGCGAGUGGCGGACGGGUGAGGAAUACAUCGGAAUCUACUCUGUCGUGGGGGAUAACGUAGGGAAACUUACGCUAAUACCGCAUACGACCUACGGGUGAAAGCAGGGGACCUUCGGGCCUUGCGCGAUUGAAUGAGCCGAUGUCGGAUUAGCUAGUUGGCGGGGUAAAGGCCCACCAAGGCGACGAUCCGUAGCUGGUCUGAGAGGAUGAUCAGCCACACUGGAACUGAGACACGGUCCAGACUCCUACGGGAGGCAGCAGUGGGGAAUAUUGGACAAUGGGCGCAAGCCUGAUCCAGCCAUACCGCGUGGGUGAAGAAGGCCUUCGGGUUGUAAAGCCCUUUUGUUGGGAAAGAAAUCCAGCUGGCUAAUACCCGGUUGGGAUGACGGUACCGGAUGAAGAAGCACCGGCUAACUCUGUGCCAGCCGCCGCAGUAA